CGAAGGGGCGUAGCGUUGCUCGGAAUCACUGGGCGUAAAGGGUAGGCGUAGGCGAGUCUUUAAGUUCAGGGGUGGAAAUCCUGGAGCUCAACUCCAGAACUGCCUUUGAUACUGAGGAUCUUGAGUUCGGGAGAGGUGAGUGGAACUGCGAGUGUAGAGGUGAAAUUCGUAGAUAUUCGCAAGAACACCAGUGGCGAAGGCGGCUCACUGGCCCGAUACUGACGCUGAGGCACGAAAGCGUGGGAGCAAACAGGAUU
rnacentral:rRNA from 1 species